rnacentral:misc_RNA from 1 species
GGCGGGAAAACGAGGGAAAUAGAGAGAAUAUGCGACGAAGCUUUUUCUUACUUGGCAUUAUUAAUAAGGGUUACUUACUUAUUGCUUCAUUUCUCUCUCUCUCACGAAUUGGAAGUUUUUUUGCUUGUAAACAAUCAAUUGAGAACUAUGUUACUCUUAAGGACUGAAACUACAAGUUCAACACCUUUUUGAAUUCCCUGAAGCAUGAGAAGAACGUAGCAAAUGAAGUUCUCCCACUAAAAAUGUUUUGUUUGGUAACAGGGUUUCAGGUAUGCCACUCCU